UUAUUGAUCACGGAGGUCGGUCCCAUCGUUGUUAUUGAUCACGGAGGUCGGUCCCAUCGCGUUAUUGAUCACGGAGGUCGGUCCAUCGCGUUAUUGAUCACGGAGGUCGGUCCCAUCGUUGUUAUUGAUCACGGAGGUCGGUCCCAUCGCGUUAUUGAUCACGGAGGUCGGUCCCAUCGUUGUUAUUGAUCACGGAGGUCGGUCCCAUCGCGUUAUUGAUCACGGAGGUCGGUCCCAUCGCGUU